CACUCCUGCGGGAGGCAGCAGUAGGGAAUCUUCCACAAUGGGUGCAAACCUGAUGGAGCAAUGCCGCGUGAGUGAAGAAGGUCUUCGGAUCGUAAAGCUCUGUUGUUAGAGAAGAACACGUGCUAGGUAACUACUAGCGCCUUGACGGUAUCUAACCAGAAAGUCACGGCUAACUACGUGCCAGCAGCCGCGGUAAUACGUAGGUGACAAGCGUUGUCCGGAUUUAUUGGGCGUAAAGGGAGCGCAGGCGGUCUGUUUAGUCUAAUGUGAAAGCCCACGGCUUAACCGUGGAACGGCAUUGGAAACUGACAGACUUGAAUGUAGAAGAGGAAAAUGGAAUUCCAAGUGUAGCGGUGGAAUGCGUAGAUAUUUGGAGGAACACCAGUGGCGAAGGCGAUUUUCUGGUCUAACAUUGACGCUGAGGCUCGAAAGCGUGGGGAGCGAACAGGAUUAGAUACCCGAGUAGUCCCAUGA
rnacentral:rRNA from 1 species